ACGAACGCUGGCGGCGUGCUUCACACAUGCAAGUCGAACGGAAAGGCCCUGCUUUUGUGGGGUGCUCGAGUGGCGAACGGGUGAGUAACACGUGAGUAACCUGCCCUUGACUUUGGGAUAACUUCAGGAAACUGGGGCUAAUACCGGAUAGGAGCUCCUGCUGCAUGGUGGGGGUUGGAAAGUUUCGGCGGUUGGGGAUGGACUCGCGGCUUAUCAGCUUGUUGGUGGGGUAGUGGCUUACCAAGGCUUUGACGGGUAGCCGGCCUGAGAGGGUGACCGGCCACAUUGGGACUGAGAUACGGCCCAGACUCCUACGGGAGGCAGCAGUGGGGAAUAUUGCACAAUGGGCGGAAGCCUGAUGCAGCAACGCCGCGUGUGGGAUGACGGCCUUCGGGUUGUAAACCGCUUUCGCCUGUGACGAAGCGUGAGUGACGGUAAUGGGUAAAGAAGCACCGGCUAACUACGUG
rnacentral:rRNA from 1 species